rnacentral:rRNA from 1 species
GGGUGAGUAACGCGUAUGCAACCUGCCUACAACAGGGGGAUAACCCGGAGAAAUCCGGACUAAUACCGCAUAAAACAGGGGUCCCGCAUGGGAGUAUUUGUUAAAGAUUUAUCGGUUGUAGAUGGGCAUGCGUUCCAUUAGUUAGUUGGUGAGGUAACGGCUCACCAAGACGUCGAUGGAUAGGGGAACUGAGAGGUUUGUCCCCCACACUGGAACUGAGACACGGACCAGACUCCUACGGGAGGCAGCAGUGAGGAAUAUUGGUCAAUGGGCGAGAGCCUGAACCAGCCAAGUCGCGUGAAGGAAGACUGCCUUAUGGGUUGUAAACUUCUUUUAUACAGGAAUAAAAAGGCUUACGUGUAGGCCAUUGCAAGUACUGUAUGAAUAAGCAUCGGCUAACUCCGUGCCAGCAGCCGCGGUAAUACGGAGGAUGCGAGCGUUAUCCGGAUUUAUUGGGUUUAAAGGGUGCGCAGGCGGGCUUUUAAGUCAGCGGUGAAAUCUGGACGCUUAACGUCCAAACUGCCGUUGAAACUGGGAGUCUUGAGUAUGGAUGAAGUAGGCGGAAUUCGUUGUGUAGCGGUGACAUGCAUAGAUAUAACGAGGAACUCCGAUUGCGUAGGCAGCUUACUAAGCCAUAACUGACGCUCAUGCACGAAAGCGUGGGGAUCAAACAGGAUUAGAUACCCUGGUAGUCCACGCCGUAAACGAUGAUUACUAGUUGUAUGCGAUAUGAUAGUAUGUGACUAAGCGAAAGCGA